GGUGUAAUGGCUUAAUGGUAUAGCGUGACAUUAGUAAUGUUAAGAUUCCGGGUUCGAUUCCCGGUUAUACCU